rnacentral:rRNA from 1 species
CUGGCUCAGGAUGAACGCUAGCGACAGGCUAACACAUGCAAGUCGAGGGGCAUCACGGGAGUAGCAAUACAACUGGUGGCGACCGGCGCACGGGUGAGUAACGCGUAUGCAACCUACCUAUCAGGAGGGGAAUAACCCGGCGAAAGUCGGACUAAUACCGCAUAAAACAGGGGCACCGCAUGGUGAUAUUUGUUAAAGAAAUUCGCUGAUAGAUGGGCAUGCGUUCCAUUAGGUAGUUGGUGAGGUAACGGCUCACCAAGCCGACGAUGGAUAGGGAACUGAGAGGUUGGUCCCCCACACUGGUACUGAGACACGGACCAGACUCCUACGGGAGGCAGCAGUGAGGAAUAUUGGUCAAUGGGCGGGAGCCUGAACCAGCCAAGUCGCGUGAAGGAAGAAGGAUCUAUGGUUCGUAAACUUCUUUGCAGGGGAAUAAAGUGCAGGACGUGUCCUGUUUUGUAUGUACCCUGAGAAUAAGGAUCGGCUAACUCCGUGCCAGCCGCGGC